UUUUGACUGUGCUGAAUGUUUGGUCUCCAAAGUAAAAGGUCAAACAAGGUCACAGACCAUUGGAUUCUACGACAUAUGGGUCCACAUGUUACAUGGCAACGUG